CAAUAAAUCCCCCCAAGAACGAGACAAAGCUCCGUGUUGAGGGUCAAGCAGUGAACAGACAGAGCUGUGGGUUUAUUGUGCUUAUGUACAAAUUCUUACACAUUAGUACCACCCACAGGGUUUUGGAACACAACCAAUAAACACAUACAAUACACUCAGACACUCCCACACAAAUUCCUCCCCUCUGCCUGUGAUUCAAUUACCUUACACAAUGGACAAUGUGCUCACAUCUUGCACCAAUGCAAAUAGUUAUGUCCUUGCAUUUUGCACUUUGGUCUUGUGGUAUAUGUGCUCACAUCUUGCACUUUAGGCACAUGGUAUAUGUGCUCACAUUUUGCACUUUAGGCACAUGGUAUAUGUGCUCACAUUUUGCACUUUAGGCACAUGGUAUAUGUGCUCACAUUUUGCACUUUAGGCACAUGGUAUAUGUGCUCACAUUUUGCACUUUAGGCACAUGGUAUAUGUGCUCACAUUUUGCACUUUAGGCACAUGGUAUAUGUGCUCACAUCUUGCACUUUAGGCACAUGGUACAUGUGCUCACAUUUUGCACUUUAGGCACAUGGUAUAUGUGCUCACAUUUUGCACUUUAGGCACAUGGUAUAUGUGCUCACAUUUUGCACUUUAGGCACAUGGUAUAUGUGCUCACAUUUUGCACUUUAGGCACAUGGUAUAUGUGCUCACAUUUUGCACUUUAGGCACAUGGUAUAUGUGCUCACAUCUUGCACUUUAGGCACAUGGUACAUGUGCUCACAUUUUGCACUUUAAGCACAUGGUAUAUGUGCUCACA